rnacentral:rRNA from 1 species
UACGUAGGGGGCCAGCGUUGUCCGGAAUCAUUGGGCGUAAAGAGCGUGUAGGCGGCCCGGUAAGUCCGCUGUGAAAGUCGGGGGCUCAACCCUCGAAUGCCGGUGGAUACUGUCGGGCUAGAGUGCGGAAGAGGCGAGUGGAAUUCCUGGUGUAGCGGUGAAAUGCGCAGAUAUCAGGAGGAACACCGAUUGCGAAGGCAGCUCGCUGGGACGUAACUGACGCUGAGACGCGAAAGCGUGGGGAGCAAACAGG